AUUGAACGCUGGCGGCAGGCCUAACACAUGCAAGUCGAACGGUAACAGGAAGAAGCUUGCUUCUUUGCUGACGAGUGGCGGACGGGUGAGUAAUGUCUGGGAAACUGCCUGAUGGAGGGGGAUAACUACUGGAAACGGUAGCUAACACCGCAUAACGUCGCAAGACCAAAGAGGGGGACCUUCGGGCCUCUUGCCAUCGGAUGUGCCCAGAUGGGAUUAGCUAGUAGGUGGGGUAACGGCUCACCUAGGCGACGAUCCCUAGCUGGUCUGAGAGGUUGACCAGCCACACUGGAACUGAGACACGGUCCAGACUCCUACGGGAGGCAGCAGUGGGGAAUAUUGCACAAUGGGCGAAAGCCUGAUGGAGCAAUGCCGCGUGUAUGAAGAAGGCCUUCGGAUUGUAAAGUACUUUCAGCAGGGAGGAAGAGAGUAGAGUGAAUACCUGUGCGUAUUGACGUUACCUGCAGAGAAAGCACCGGCUAACUCCGUG
rnacentral:rRNA from 1 species